GAUGAACGCUGGCGGCGUGCCUAACACAUGCAAGUCGAGCGAUUCUCCUCGGAGAAGAGCGGCGGACGGGUGAGUAACGCGUGGGUAACCUGCCCUGUACACACGGAUAACAUACCGAAAGGUAUGCUAAUACGAGAUAAUAUGCUUUUAUCGCAUGGUAGAAGUAUCAAAGCUCCGGCGGUACAGGAUGGACCCGCGUCUGAUUAGCUAGUUGGUAAGGUAACGGCUUACCAAGGCGACGAUCAGUAGCCGACCUGAGAGGGUGAUCGGCCACAUUGGAACUGAGACACGGUCCAAACUCCUACGGGAGGCAGCAGUGGGGAAUAUUGCACAAUGGGCGAAAGCCUGAUGCAGCAACGCCGCGUGAGCGAUGAAGGCCUUCGGUCGUAAGCUCUGUCCUCAAGGAAGAUAAUGACGGUACUUGAGGAGGAAGCCCCGGCUAACUACGUGCCAGCAGCCGCGGUAACUGUAGUCGU
rnacentral:rRNA from 1 species